UAAAACGUAGGUACCGAGCGUUAUCCGGAUUUACUGGGCGUAAAGCGCGUUCAGGCGGACAGGCAAGUCGGGCAUGAAAUCGCUCGGCUCAACCGGGCGAGGUUGUCCGAUACUGCCUGACUGGAGGGCAGUAGAGGGUGGUGGAAUUCCGGGUGUAGUGGUGAAAUGCGUAGAGAUCCGGAGGAACACCAGUGGCGCAAGCGGCCACCUGGACUGUACCUGACGCUGACACGCGAAAGCUAGGGGAGCGAACGGGAUUAGAAACCCCGGUAGUCCUAGCUAUAAACGAUGUGGACUAGGUGUCGGUGGUCUAAACCCCGCCGGUGCCGCAGCUAACGCACUAAGUCCACCGCCUGGGGACUACGGCCGCAAGGUUA
rnacentral:rRNA from 1 species